rnacentral:rRNA from 1 species
CCCUUAGAUGUUCUGGGCCGCACGCGCGCUACACUGAUGCAUUCAACGAGCCUAGCCUUGACCGAGAGGUCCGGGUAAUCUUUGAAACUGCAUCGUGAUGGGGCUAGAUUAUUGCAAUUAUUAAUCUUCAACGAGGAAUGCCUAGUAAGCGUGAUUCAUCAAAUCGCGUUGAUUACGUCCCUGCCCUUUGUACACACCGCCCGUCGCUCCUACCGAUUGAGUGUGUUGGUGAGGAGUUUGGAUUGGCCUCGGAAGGUGGUUCGCCACCGUCCGUAGCUGAGAAGUUCUCCAAACCGCCCUACUUAGAGGAAGGAGAAGUCGUAACA